CGGGUGAGUAAUGCGUGACCAACCUGCCCCAUGCUCCAGAAUAGCUCUUGGAAACGGGUGGUAAUGCUGGAUGCUCCAACUUGACGCAUGUCUUGUUGGGAAAGUGUUUAGUUGCAUGGGAUGGGGUCGCGUCCUAUCAGCUUGUAGGCGGGGUAAUGGCCCACCUAGGCUUCGACGGGUAGCCGGCCUGAGAGGGCGGACGGCCACAUUGGGACUGAGAUACGGCCCAGACUCCUACGGGAGGCAGCAGCA
rnacentral:rRNA from 1 species